rnacentral:rRNA from 1 species
AGAUUGAUCCUGGCUAGGGAUGAACGCUAGCUACAGGCUUAACACAUGCAAGUCGAGGGGCAGCAUGAUUCUAGCUUGCUAGAAUUGAUGGCGACCGGCGCACGGGUGCGUAACACGUAUCCAAUCUACCCAUGGCUCGGGGAUAGCCUUUCGAAAGAAAGAUUAAUACCUGAUAGUCUUACCUGGAGACAUCUCCUGGUAAGUAAAGAUUCAUCGGCGAUGGAUGGGGAUGCGUCCGAUUAGCUGGUUGGCGGGGUAACGGCCCACCAAGGCGACAAUCGGUAGGGGUUCUGAGAGGAAGGUCCCCCACACUGGAACUGAGACACGGUCCAGACUCCUACGGGAGGCAGCAGUGAGGAAUAUUGGUCAAUGGGCGCGAGCCUGAACCAGCCAAGUAGCGUGAGGGAUGGCGGCCCUACGGGUUGUAAACCUCUUUUGCAGGGGAAUAAAGUGCGGGACGUGUCCCGCUUUGUAUGUACCUUGCGAAUAAGCAUCGGCUAAUUCCGUGCCAGCAGCCGCGGUAAUACGGAAGAUGCGAGCGUUAUCCGGAUUUAUUGGGUUUAAAGGGAGCGUAGGCGGCCUUUUAAGUCAGCGGUUAAAUGUCAGCGCCCAACGUUGGCUUGCCGUUGAUACUGGGAGGCUUGAAUACACACAAAGGAAGGUGGAAUUCGUCGUGUAGCGGUGAAAUGCUUAGUAUGACGAAGAACUCCGAUUGCGAAGGCAGCCUUCUGGGGUGCGAUUGA